GGCAGAAGGGUGUCUGAGGACCUGAGUUUUGUCAGAGUAUACUUUAACUUUUUGGAAAAUGUCAUUAAGUAACUCUCAGUGUUUUUGAAGAGCUGUCUUGCUGUGCUCCUGACUCUGGGUUAUGAGGUAUUCCUGUUUUGACUCUGCAUUUAAUAUUAGUCCUGGCUUCCAUUCCAUACAUGCAUUGAAAUUUAAGCCCCCUCUCCAUGAUAAAUGGAUGAAUGCAUAGUGUAUGUCAGAUGUAACACUAAAUUCAAUGUGCACUCUCUUAGCAAAUUAGAAAUAAGAAUUGGGUCAGAUGUGGUGGUACAUGCCUGUAAUUCCAGCUAUUUGGGAGGCUGAGGCAAGAGGAUUGCAAGUUAGAGGCCACUCUCAGCAACAUAGUGAGGCCCUAAGCAACUGAAUGAGACCAUCCUUCAAAAUAAAAAUAAGAAGGAUUGGGGAUGUAACUCAGUGCUUAAAGUGCCCCUGGGUUCGAUCUCUGGUACCAAAAAAGCUAAAAAUAAAAGGGGCUGGGUACAUAGCUUAGUGAUAGAGUACCCCUGGGUUCAAUCCCCAGUAACAAUAACAACAAAAAAGAAUUGGUUUUCAAAUAAAAUUUAGAUAGCUUUGUUAUGCAAGGUAUACUGGGAUUGACCUAGUUUUUUAAUUUUUCCUUUACUCUUUCCUGAUCUACAAGAAUAGAUAAUGGUCAAUCAUAUAACAAAUAGGAACAAAUUAUUGAAGACAGACACUCUUCAGCAAGCACUUUAGACAAAAGUGCCCAGACGCUGACCUGUCUGCUGCCACGUUCCUC
rnacentral:lncRNA from 1 species